rnacentral:rRNA from 1 species
UACGUAGGGGGCUAGCGUUGUCCGGAAUCAUUGGGCGUAAAGCGCGUGUAGGCGGUUCGGUAAGUCCGCUGUGAAAGUCGGGGGCUCAACCCUCGGAUGCCGGUGGAUACUGUCGGACUAGAGUACAGAAGAGGCGAGUGGAAUUCCUGGUGUAGCGGUGAAAUGCGCAGAUAUCAGGAGGAACACCGAUUGCGAAGGCAGCUCGCUGGGACGUUACUGACGCUGAGACGCGAAAGCGUGGGGAGCAAACAGG